rnacentral:tRNA from 1 species
GGAGGGUUGCGAGAGCGGUUAAUCGAACAGGUUGCUAACCUGUGACGGUCUUAAAAAUCGUCCGUGGGUUCGAAUCCCACACCCUCCG